CCAGCGAACUGGCUGGGUUGCUAGCAAAGUUAGCAUUAGCGGCUAGUGCUAAUUUUAGCUAGCUAUCCCUGUAAUUCGACAAUAGUAGAAAGAAAUCUUAGCAUGAUUUCUUUGGCACAAAAUAUUCACAUAAAACAUUUCUCUCGAGUCAUAUUUACUAUCACAUUGCAACAUCCCGAAUACGGUUAUUUUUUUCCAUCACACGCUGCAAGGCUAGGGUUGCUAAUCUGAACGGUGUGCAACGUAGUUUGCAUCAGCGUAGAGCUUAACACCCCUUGUCUUGUCUAUUCUACUUUGCUGUUCUGCACAGCGCUGCUUGGGUUAACCUAAUACGCUAGUCUUCCAUAUAGAAGAUGUUCAAAUCACAGUUCAUUCAUUUUCAAACCAGACCUAACUCUUAAAGGUGACAGACCGCAUGACGUUAAUUGUUACCAUUCGGUUCAGCCGUCCAAAUUUUUGUCAUUUUUGUCCUCUAAAGAAAUCUUUUGCUAUCAAAAAUGUGUUUGUUAUUCAUCAAAUGGGCUGAAAAUAACAGAAGUUGUUCAGUGCUAUGUUAUGCAUGAUUGCAAUAAGUUUUAAGUAAUUUGAUUUAUCUAUAGGGUUUUUAUUGGAUUUUAUAACACUUGUGGUCCUCGGACAAAAAUGACCCCUCAGUAUAAAGUGGUGCAUUAGGGUAAACACCAUACUCCUUUCCAAAACAUCUUUGAUCUUUGAUGUAUGGGGACACGGACACACACACAAUAAAAUAAAACAAAAAAAAAAAGGCGGGGAAAAAGCUCUUUUGUCACAAGUUUUGGGGCAUUUCUUGUUUUACUCUGGGAGAGAGAAGCAGCAAAAUGAAGAGGCAGAAGCUCUGUACUGCACAAGAGACUUGUGAGCUAAUUUUUAACCAAGCUGUUGAAAAGAACGACCAGGAUGAGGAUGAUUCAUCUUCAGACGCGGAGGAAAAUAAUGAUGAAGAUCGAGCAUAUGGACCACAUGCUAGUUCUUUCUCUGAAGAAUCCCCCACAUCGCCAGCUGCAGAAACUGAAGAAGAGUAUGAAGUGAUGGAAAACGAUGAAUAUGAUGAGGAAGAAUCUGAACCUGAAAUGGAAGAAGUAUCAGCUGUGGAAGACUACACUUCUGAUGAAGAGAAAGAAUCAACCGAUGAGGAAGAAUCUGUGGAAGAGGACCCAGCUGAGACAGAGGAAUAUUUCCAGUCAAAGGACAAAAAACUGAUCUGGUGUUCGGUUCCUCCCAGUGACAGACGACGCAUGAUGAAAGUAGAGAGAGACAAAAGCCACUGUGGUCCAACCACAUAUGCAAUUUCUCGUAUUGAUGACAUAAAAUCUACUUUUGCCCUGUUUCUGCCCAAGUCUAUUGAAGAGGUGAUACUGAACAUGACAAACAAGGAGGGGCGUCGUGUGUAUGGCAACAAGUGGAGGAAGAUGGAUCCAAUCGACCUGCAGGCAUAUGUGGGUAUGUUGAUUCUCGCUGGUGUGUGCCGCUCCAAUAAGGAAGCUACAGCUAUUUUAUGGCAUGCUGAGUCUGGUAGGACAAUUUUUCGUGCUACCAUGACACUGAAGGUGUUUCAUAAAAUCUCAAGAGUUAUUCGUUUUGAUGAUAAAGACACAAGAGGAGAUCGGCGUGCACGAGACAAACUUGCUCCCAUUCGGGAUGUAUGGAACAAGUGGGUGCCUCUUCUGCCAAUGAUGUAUAAUCCAGGCACUGAUGUCACUGUGGAUGAGCGUCUAGUGCCCUUCAGAGGUCGCUGUCCAUUUAAACAGUACAUUCCAUGCAAACCAGGAAAGUAUGGCAUAAAAAUAUGGGCAGCAUGUGAUGCCAGGUCUAGCUAUGCAUGGAACAUGCAAGUAUACACUGGCAAACCUGCUGGUGCACAGUCAGAAAAAAAUCAGGGCAAGCGAGUUGUUGUUGAGAUGACAGAAGGUCUCCAGGGGAAAACAAUAACCUGUGACAACUUCUUCACAUCAUAUGACCUUGGCCUGCAACUACUGAGAAGAAAGCUGUACAUGGUGGGAACAGUACGGAGGAAUAAGCCCGAACUGCCCCCUGCGCUGGUGUCAAAAAUGAACAGGGCUCAGUUCUCAUCAAAGUUUGCCUUCACCGAGACCCAUGCUUUGGUGUCCUACCACCCCAGAAAACAGAAAAAUGUUCUUCUGAUGAGCACUCUGCAUCGGGAUGCUGUUUUGAGCACCAGGGAUGACAAAAGGCCAAAAAUCAUCGAAGAUUACAAUCGCAACAAGGGGGGUGUCGAUAACCUCGACAAGGCUACGAGUGUGUACACAUGCAAAAGAAAAACAGCCGGUUGGCCCCUCGUUGUUUUCUACAACAUUCUCGACGUGUCUGUAUACAACUCGUUUGUCUUGUGGUCAGAGAUCAAUCCAGCCUGGAAUCAGGGGAAGUGCAACAAGAGGAGACUCUUUAUGGAGGAGCUUGGGCAGCAACUGGUGAUACCUUACAUCCAGCGACGGAAGGUUAUUCCCCGCACACCAGCAACUGCCAGAUUCGUUAGGAAGAACCAGCAGUUCUGCUCCAGCUCUACCUCUGCAGCAGAACUUCCUCACCCAGCUGCCCCUACUGGCCCAUCACCCAAAAGAAAAAGCUAUAAUGGAGCCAUCGGAGCAAUCAGGCCCAGACUCAGGUUCUCAGGAUGUCAACCCAGUGUUUCUGCAGCAGCUCAGAGAGCUGGACAUCCCAGAGGAGGCGGCCAAACAGGCACUCUUGCAUACUCGGAAUGUGUCUGCCGAGGAAGCGGCCAUGUACUACUUCAACAAGCUGGAGAAUGAGGAGGAGGGUGAUGAUGACCUCAUUUACAAGAUGGUAUUUGUGGUGAAUAUGGACCUUGCCAUGGGCAUUGGGAAGGUGGCUGCUCAGGUUGGUCAUGCUGCUGUGGGCUUGUACCAGGCUCUACAAGAGAAGAACAGCUGGAGGGAGAUGGCCUGGAGGUGGGACCACAGUGGGUAAGA